rnacentral:rRNA from 1 species
GGAGGAUCCAAGCGUUAUCCGGAAUCAUUGGGUUUAAAGGGUCCGUAGGCGGUUUAAUAAGUCAGUGGUGAAAGCCCAUCGCUCAACGGUGGAACGGCCAUUGAUACUGUUAAACUUGAAUUAUUAGGAAGUAACUAGAAUAUGUAGUGUAGCGGUGAAAUGCUUAGAGAUUACAUGGAAUACCAAUUGCGAAGGCAGGUUACUACUAAUGGAUUGACGCUGAUGGACGAAAGCGUGGGUAGCGAACAGGAUUAGAUACCCUGGUAGUCCACGCCGUAAACGAUGGAUACUAGCUGUUGGAAGCAAUUUCAGUGGCUAAGCGAAAGUGAUAAGUAUCCCACCUGGGGAGUACGUUCGCAAGAAUG